rnacentral:rRNA from 1 species
UACGUAGGGUGCAAGCGUUAAUCGGAAUUACUGGGCGUAAAGCGUGCGCAGGCGGUGAUGUAAGACAGUUGUGAAAUCCCCGGGCUCAACCUGGGAACUGCAUCUGUGACUGCAUCGCUGGAGUGCGGCAGAGGGGGAUGGAAUUCCGCGUGUAGCAGUGAAAUGCGUAGAUAUUGGGAAGAACACCGGUGGCGAAGGCGGCUCACUGGCUCGUAACUGACGCUCAUGCACGACAGCGUGGGGAUCAAACAGG